rnacentral:rRNA from 1 species
AUACGGAGGAUGCGAGCGUUAUCCGGAUUUAUUGGGUUUAAAGGGAGCGUAGGCGGGAGCUUAAGUCAGCGGUUAAAUGGUGCGGCUCAACCGUGCCCUGCCGUUGAAACUGGGUUUCUUGAGAGUGCAAGAGGCGGAUGGAAUUCAUGGUGUAGCGGUGGAAUGCUUAGAUAUCAUGAAGAACUCCGAUUGCGAAGGCAGUCCGCUGGGGCACGUCUGACGCUGAUGCUCGAAGGUGCGGGAAUCAAACAGGAUUAGAUACCCUGGUAGUCCGCACGGUAAACGAUGAUUACCCGCUGUCGGCGGCAGACAGUCGGCGGCCAAGCGAAAGCGAUAAGUAAUCCACCUGGGGAGUACGCCGGCAACGAUGAAACUCAAAUGAAUUGACGGGG